UACAGAGGGUGCAAGCGUUAAUCGGAAUUACUGGGCGUAAAGCGUGUGUAGGUGGUUGGAUAAGUUAGAUGUGAAAUCCCCGGGCUUAACCUGGGAACUGCGUUUAAGACUGUUUAACUAGAGUACUGUAGAGGAUAGUGGAAUUUCCAGUGUAGCGGUGAAAUGCGUAGAUAUUGGAAGGAACACCAGUGGCGAAGGCGACUAUCUGGAUAGAUACUGACACUGAGACACGAAAGCGUGGGGAGCAAACAGG
rnacentral:rRNA from 1 species